ensembl:lncRNA
GCCUUGCUUCGGCUUGCCGCGGCUGCCAGGGUUGGAGGCAAAGCUGCCGUCGAGGAUUCAUUGAACGUAAUGGAGGAGGCAGCGGUUGCCGGUUCCGGUGUUUAAAGCCCCUUUUACGUGCACGGCGGUAGGGAUUAUUGCGUGCUAGUGUUCUUAAUGACACCACAAUGCAGUUCCAGGCCAAAUACAGUUAAUUUAAAAGAUAAUUCAGUUUCUAAGCGAAACAGCGAUUUGACAAGUGCGAUUUUGACUGAACUCAAGGCAACACACCACUUACAGCUGAAGAAAGAGGAGAAGAAAAUCUAGUCCAGGGCAGAGGAGGCUUAUACAACUACCCUCACCCAGAGAGAUUGCAGUAUAAAAACAAUGCAGAAGGAGAUCAGCAAGCUGAUGAUGGAAAAACAGCUUGCACAGGUAAGACAUUGUCAUUAUUUUGGGAGUGUUUUCAAUGGUUGACAUCUAAAUUUGAAAUUGGGGGGGGAAAAGCUUUAAAUUUGAAGUAUUAAAAUACAAGUUGACUCUAGCCUGCUGUACUAAUCCAAUAUAACACUGUAUUUUAAAAGAUUACAGAUGUCAUUUAUUUGUCAUUGACUUGAACAGAAAGUCCAACCUUUGUUUGAACUACUUACUGAAAGUCAGCUACUGUACCAACUACUGUCAGAUUCCCACACAUGCCCUACAAAUUCACAACAGUGCC